rnacentral:rRNA from 1 species
GACGAACGCUGGCGGCGUGCCUAAUACAUGCAAGUUGAGCGCUGAAGGUUGGUACUUGUACCGACUGGAUGAGCAGCGAACGGGUGAGUAACGCGUGGGGAAUCUGCCUUUGAGCGGGGGACAACAUUUGGAAACGAAUGCUAAUACCGCAUAAAAACUUUAAACACAAGUUUUAAGUUUGAAAGAUGCAAUUGCAUCACUCAAAGAUGAUCCCGCGUUGUAUUAGCUAGUUGGUGAGGUAAAGGCUCACCAAGGCGAUGAUACAUAGCCGACCUGAGAGGGGGAUCGGCCACAUUGGGACGGAGACACGGCCCAAACUCCUACGGGAGGCAGCAGUAGGGAAUCUUCGGCAAUGGACGAAAGUCUGACCGAGAAACGCCGCGUGAGUGACGAAGGUUGUCGGAUCGUAAAACUCUGUUGGUAGAGAAGAACGUUGGUGAGAGUGGAAAGCUCAUCAAGUGACGGUAACUACCCAGAAAGGGGCGGCUAACUACGUG